AAUAUAUUAUUGUGUAAAAACAGGCUCAUUUCUACAGCUCAGCGAUGGUAUUAGACUUGACAUCAUUGCUACUCAAGAUCAGAAUCAGACAGAACUGAACAAUCAGUCACAACAUCCGAAAACACAGCAGGCUCUGAUUGUGUUAUAUGUUAUAUUGAACAUUGUGAUGUUUUCUGCAGUAAUAGGCCUAUUUCAGAUCAAACUCCAAGCGUGUAAAAAAAGACACCAACAAUGUCAAGAUGAAGAACUGGAGCAGCUUUACAGCACAAAUGGUGAAGAGUUUUCUGAAGUGGAGUUUCGUCUGUUUCACCCGACCAAACAACACUUUUGUUCCUUUUCAAAAGCC